UGGGGGAUAUUGCACAAUGGGCGAAAGCCUGAUGCAGCGACGCCGCGUGGGGGAUGAAGGCUUUCGGGUUGUAAACCUCUUUCGCUAUCGAACAAGGCCCGCUUAGGGUGGGUUGAGGGUAGGUGGAGAAGAAGCGCCGGCUAACUACGUGCCAGCAGCCGCGGUAAUACGUAGGGCGCGAGCGUUGUCCGGAAUUAUUGGGCGUAAAGGGCUUGUAGGCUGCUUGUUGCGCCUGCUGUGAAAACGCGGGGCUUAACUUCGCGCGUGCAGUGGGUACGGGCAGGCUUGAGUGUGGUAGGGGUGACUGGAAUUCCAGGUGUAGCGGUGGAAUGCGCAGAUAUCUGGAGGAACACCGAUGGCGAAGGCAGGUCACUGGGCCAUUACUGACGCUGAGGAGCGAAAGCAUGGGUAGCGAACAGG
rnacentral:rRNA from 1 species